UCGAUGUAUAACCCUGAUCGAAAAAUUCCAACCAGUGGGACUCUUCACCCCGGUACCCAUAAUGUGUGGAACUCGUGAUCAGAGAAUCCUGAUUCUCGAUCAUUGAGUCUCAAAUAUGUAAGAUUCUACAUCAGCCAUCAGAUCAGAUAGGAACCUCUAAUGUGCGUGACCCCGCAGGUUCGAACCUAAGUCGGUAGCACAGGAACCAAUCCUGUACUAAUCGAAGUGACCAUCUAGCAAUGGUACCCGAUGUUCGGAU
rnacentral:lncRNA from 1 species